CAGCCGCCACGGGAAUACGAGGGAGGCAAGCGUUGUUCGGAAUUAUUGGGCGUAAAGGGUGCGUAGGCGGAUUCUUAAGUCAGAGGUGAAAUCCCAAGGCUCAACCUUGGAACUGCCUUUGAUACUGGGGAUCUCGAGUCCGGGAGAGGUGAGUGGAACUGCGAGUGUAGAGGUGAAAUUCGUAGAUAUUCGCAAGAACACCAGUGGCGAAGGCGGCUCACUGGCCCGGUACUGACGCUGAGGUGCGAAAGCGUGGGGAGCAAACAGGAUUAGAUACCCCUGUAGUCCCUGUCUCUUAUAC
rnacentral:rRNA from 1 species